GUCGUCGUGGCCGAGUGGUUAAGGCGACAGACUUGAAAUCUGUUGGGCUCUGCCCGCACAGGUUCGAAUCG
rnacentral:tRNA from 1 species